GUGAAUGCACCAAGUCUACUCUCAACUGUUCUGUGUAUCUUCUGUGUGUCCUUGGUAUUUCCUGCAGGAGAACUUGACGAACUAAACUUCUGUUUCCCAUCUGGAAGCAGGGAUCAGAAAUGAGUUGGAUAUCACUGAAACAUUUUCCCUUUAUGAGGGCUUUUGGACAGGACUGCGGUUCCCUCUCUGGCCAACAGAAGGCGUCUGUAAACACAACAGGCCCACCACAGGACGCCUUACCUCUAUGUGGUCCUGAUUACUAACCAAUUUACACGGACAUCUUUAUAGACUACUGGCUCGAGGGACAGAGCAACAUGUAGUGGGAAAUGAAUGCUGACAAACAUGCAGGAUAUACUGGGCAUACUCCAUGUGUGUUUGUUGUCACCUGACCUACAAAAAGCAAGCAAGAGGAAGUAAACUAAAAUGCCUCCCAGCCAAUCACCUGAGUCCAAAGCACAGAUUCCGUAUUAGUGAACCAUGCAGAAUGAUGACAAAAAUGCUCUCACUAUGAAAUAAAUGUUAUAGAAGGUAAAUGUGUUGUUUCCAUUUCAUAUUGUCUUUAAGUCUGAAUCUGAAAUAUAUAGGCCUACUUUGUAAGACUUA